AUUUAUCUCGUCAUGCUGCCAGUGAAACAACGCAUCGCGAAAUAGUAAUAGAUUUUUUUGUAAGUAGUCAGUCUGACCUGGGUCCUGGAGAAAAUGUCGAGCCAGAUGAAAGCCUUAUCAUGAGUAGUAGUCAGAAGAAAGCAAAAAAGGUUGGAAAACACUGGGUUAGAGUACCAAUCAGGUGACAUCAGAUAAUCUUCACUGGUCUGAGGAAUCUUCUAGGAAUGGUGACGCUAUUUUCUGGAGAAUUUAUUGGUAAUGACCACUGAAGGGUGUGGACAUACUUCAGACCAGGAGCAUAUGGUUUUAAACCCACACACAAGUCAGACUCUCAAGUGAAAAAGAACUUGGGACAGCCCAGCACUCACACCAAGAAGAUCCUGGGUGAUACUUCUGCUUCAUCCCAUAGAUCGAAGACGUUACAUUAUGUUAUUCUUGAUUCUAAAUUGGUAUUAGGUGUGAGUGUGAAUGGUUUUCUAUGUAUUAGCCCUGCAACAGAUUGCUGAUCUGUCCAGGGUGUACCCCUGAACGCUGGGACAGGCUCCAGCCCCCCUUGUGAUCCUGAACUGAACAAACAGUUAAGAAGAUGAAUGGAAAAGCAACAAGGAUACACGCACAGGCGGCUAAACUAAUCCUGCAGUUUUAUUCACUGUUGCCUCCCACUUCACAAACCUGUGAGUCGCUGAUCAGGACUCACGAAAACAACUUUCCAGGCCGUCACACUUUAUCCACCAGUCAAAACAAAAAGAAACAAUAUCAGCCCAACUUGUAAGAGACAAAAGAGUUUAGUGGUUGCCAAGAACACAAUGCACCCAUGCUUUUAUGAAAUUAGGCCAGGAACAAACUGAUCUGACUGACAGAACUGCUGGGAAGCCUGGAAAAAUAUAAACCUCCAUUAGGCCAUAUUUAAAAAACAAAACAAACAAAAAAGCCACUGCAGACUUUUCCACCCAGAGGAUAUCUACCAGGUAUAUUUAGCUAUUAACCCACAUGACACAAAUCAAUUAAAGUAGCAUAUCUUAAAAAUAUAAAGCCUACUUUAUAAACGUAUAGCUUCUGGCAAAACUACAUUAUUGUAUUUAGCAUUCCUUUAGGCUGCAAUAAAGCUGUGCAGAAUGUUAGACUAAUGUUUGGCCAGGGUAUGUCGUUCAUUUCACACAUUAGAAAAAUCUCUGGAGCUCCUUUUAUCAUAUGUGCCAAAAUUAGGAACAUAGUAUCUAAAAAAAAAAAAAAUUAAGUGGGGUUGGAGGUUGGGACGGGCUUAGGGCGCCAGGAGAACCCCUAGAGACGUUAUCCCUGGAGGGCUCAACCCGGGGGGUUGUGGUCAUAACCUGGUUAGUGGCUCUGGUCGCUCUUAGAGGGUGUUCUCCUCGUGGCUGCGUGCAGCGGGGCUGGGGGAUGGUCUGUACUGGCGGACGUAGGUUACUGGCCUGGUAGCCUGGCUGCCCCUGAGUGGAUCCGGGGCAGGCGUGGGGGCUUGGGGUUCAGGGGUGCUUCGUUUCCGUGAUGGGGCUCUGGCUGGGCCUUGGAGGCUUCGGUCCUCGUCGGU